rnacentral:rRNA from 1 species
GAGUUUGAUCAUGGCUCAGAUUGAACGCUGGCGGCAGGCCUAACACAUGCAAGUCGAGCGGAUGACGGGAGCUUGCUCCUUGAUUCAGCGGCGGACGGGUGAGUAAUGCCUGGGAAUCUGCCUGGUAGUGGGGGACAACGUUUCGAAAGGAACGCUAAUACCGCAUACGUCCUACGGGAGAAAGCAGGGGACCUUCGGGCCUUGCGCUAUCAGAUGAGCCUAGGUCGGAUUAGCUAGUUGGUGGGGUAAUGGCUCACCAAGGCGACGAUCCGUAACUGGUCUGAGAGGAUGAUCAGUCACACUGGAACUGAGACACGGUCCAGACUCCUACGGGAGGCAGCAGUGGGGAAUAUUGGACAAUGGGCGAAAGCCUGAUCCAGCCAUGCCGCGUGUGUGAAGAAGGUCUUCGGAUUGUAAAGCACUUUAAGUUGGGAGGAAGGGCAGUAAGUUAAUACCUUGCUGUUUUGACGUUACCGACAGAAUAAGCACCGGCUAACUCUGUGCCAGCAC